rnacentral:rRNA from 1 species
AGGACGAACGCUGGCGGCGUGCUUAACACAUGCAAGUCGAGCGGAAAGGCCCUUCGGGGUACUCGAGCGGCGAACGGGUGAGUAACACGUGAGCAAUCUGCCCUUAGCUUCGGGAUAGCUCCGGGAAACCGGAAUUAAUACCGAAUACGACCACGGCCGACAUCAGCUGUGGUGGAAAGUUUUUCGGCUAGGGAUGAGCUCGCGGCCCAUCAGCUUGUUGGUGAGGUAACGGCUCACCAAGGCGACGACGGGUA